CCUACGGGCGGCAGCAGUGGGGAAUAUUGCACAAUGGGGGAAACCCUGAUGCAGCAACGCCGCGUGAGUGAAGAAGUAUUUCGGUAUGUAAAGCUCUAUCAGCAGGGAAGAAGAUGACGGUACCUGAAUAAGUAGCCCCGGCUAACUACGUGCCAGCAGCCGCGGUAAUACGGAGGGGGCAAGCGUUAUCCGGAUUUACUGGGUGUAAAGGGAGCGCAGACGGCGGGGCAAGUCAGGAGUGAAAGCCGGGGGCCCAACCGUAAAAUGGCACGGGAAACUGGGAGGCUAGAGUACUGGAGAGGGAGGCGGAAUUCGUGGUGUAGCGGGGAAAUGAUUAGAUAGAAGGAAGAA
rnacentral:rRNA from 1 species